rnacentral:lncRNA from 1 species
CAGAAUGUAUGCCUGCAGGCUGAUUCCCACCUUCUUCAUUAGUCUUGAGGUUUGAGAUUCCCUGUUUGUGUCUGCAGGAUUCAGAUAGUCUCACAAGAAGACUACAUAUAUGUAUGUAUGUAUAUAUGUAAGAAGAAAGUGUGACAGAAUAAUGACCAUGGAGGUGAGGGAUAACAUGAAAUGAGCAGAAGCCGGCAGAAUACAUAGAUAAGCGAACGGAACAUCAAUCUCUUUAUAACCUCUUCUGUCUAUACUUCAAGAAUGGAUAUCCUGCAAGCCGGCUUCGUAGAGUCUCCCUUGAAAGUGGACCUCGUGAUCUAGCCUUUAUGUCCGUGGAUUGACACUGUGAUGGAUUCCCCCCAAGUUCAUUUAGAUAUUCUCUCUUAUUCAUAAAUGUCACGGUCAGCUCUGUUCUUAUAGAUACCAGAAUGGAUACCCCUAAGCUGAUGUAUAUACACCCUUCCUCGGUUGCGAGAUUCCUGCUCUGGUGGUUGUAGUCAUAAGAUAUACAUCGUUGCGUACACCUUGGUUGUGGGCACGCACACUACUGUUGAAUUACCACCUUGUCCAAGUGGAUGGAUGCCCUCAAUGGGAU